AGCUCAUCCGACGGCACUGGGUUAUCAGAGCUUGUUAACGGUACCGUCAAGCCACCCACUGCUAAAUUUGACUGGCUAAAA
rnacentral:sRNA from 1 species